UCCAGAGGUCCCAAGCGUUGUUCGGAUUCACUGGGCGUAAAGGGUGCGUAGGUGGUGAGGUAAGUCGGAUGUGAAAGCUCCGAGCUCAACUCGGAAAUGGCAUUGGAAACUACCUUGCUCGAGGGUUUGAGGGGGGACUGGAAUACUUGGUGUAGCAGUGAAAUGCGUAGAUAUCAAGUAGAACACCAGUGGCGAAGGCGAGUCCCUGGAAAACUCCUGACAUUGAGGCACGAAAGCUAGGGGAGCAAACAGG
rnacentral:rRNA from 1 species